ACCCCUGUAGCUCAGACGGAUAGAGCGGCGGUUUCCUAAACCGCAGGUCGGGCGUUCGAAUCGCCCCAGGGGUA
rnacentral:tRNA from 1 species